rnacentral:rRNA from 1 species
GACGAACGCUGGCGGCGUGCCUAAUACAUGCAAGUAGAACGCUGAAGGAGGAGCUUGCUUCUCUGGAUGAGUUGCGAACGGGUGAGUAACGCGUAGGUAACCUGCCUGGUAGCGGGAGAUAACUAUUGGAAACGAUAGCUAAUACCGCAUAAGAGUAGAUGUCGCAUGACAUUUGCUUAAAAGGUGCAAUUGCAUCACUACCAGAUGGACCUGCGUUGUAUUAGCUAGUUGGGGAGGUAACGGCUCACCAAGGCAACGAUACAUAGCCGACCUGAGAGGGUGAUCGGCCACACUGGGACUGAGACACGGCCCAGACUCCUACGGGAGGCAGCAGUAGGGAAUCUUCGGCAAUGGACGGAAGUCUGACCGAGCAACGCCGCGGGAGUGAAGAAGGUUUUCGGAUCGUAAAGCUCUGUUGUAAGAGAAGAACGAGUGUGAGAGUGGAAAGUUCACACUGUGACGGUAUCUUACCAGAAAGAGACGGCUAACUACGUG